CUCUCUCUCUUUCUCUCUAACUGAAAAUACUUGUUCUAUUUUGGUAGCCAUGGACUCAUCAAGCUGGUUAGAACUUGAUUCUUCUCUCAGUUUCGACAUCAAUCUCAAUUCUCACAGGAUUCUUCAUUCAAACUCCUGAAAUGGGAGUUUGAAUGAAGAAUCCUAUGAGAAUUGAGAUUGAUGUCGAAACUGAGAGAAGAAUCAAGUUCUAACCAGCUUUGAAUCUAUGGCUGCCAAAGUAGAACAAGUCUUAAUUUUCAGUU